CCGGCGCACGGGUGAGCAACACGUAUGCAAUCCACCUGUAACAGGGGGAUAACCCGGAGAAAUCCGGACUAAUACCCCAUAAUAUGGGCUCUCCGCAUGGAGGGUCCAUUAAAGAGAGCAAUUUUGGUUACAGACGAGCAUGCGCUCCAUUAGCCAGUUGGCGGGGUAACGGCCCACCAAAGCGACGAUGGAUAGGGGUUCUGAGAGGAAGGUCCCCCACAUUGGAACUGAGACACGGUCCAA
rnacentral:rRNA from 1 species